UACAGGGGGUGCAAACGUUGCUCGGAAUCAUUGGGCGUAAAGCGCACGUAGGCGGUCUGUUAUGUCGGAUGUGAAAGCCCUUGGCUCAACUGAGGAAGUGCAUCCGAAACUGGCAGGCUAGAGUACUAAAGAGGGUCGCGGAAUUCCGGUGUAGAGGUGAAAUUCGUAGAUAUCGGGAGGAACACCGGUGGCGAAGGCGGCGACCUGGGUAGAUACUGACGCUGAGGUGCGAAAGCGUGGGAGCAACAGG
rnacentral:rRNA from 1 species